UACGUAGGGACCGAGCGUUGUCCGGAUUCAUUGGGCGUAAAGCGCAUGUAGGCGGCCAUGUAAGUCGGUUGUGAAAUCCCGAGGCUCAACUUCGGAACUGCAGCCGAUACUGCAUGGAUUGAGGAAGGUAGAGGAGAGUGGAAUUCCCGGUGUAGCGGUGGAAUGCGCAGAUAUCGGGACGAACACCUAUGGCGAAGGCAGCUCUCUGGGCCUCUCCUGACGCUGAGAUGCGAAAGCGUGGGUAGCGAACAGG
rnacentral:rRNA from 1 species